rnacentral:rRNA from 1 species
GAUGAACGCUGGCGGCGUGCCUAACACAUGCAAGUCGAACGAAGCGCCUUUUGAGAUUCUUCGGAUGAUCGAUUGGUGACUGAGUGGCGGACGGGUGAGUAACGCGUGGGUAACCUGCCCUGUACAGGGGGAUAACAGCUGGACACGGCUGCUAAUACCGCAUAAGCGCACGAGGAGACAUCUCCUUGUGUGAAAACCUCCGGUGGUACAGGAUGGGCCCGCGUCUGAUUAGCUGGUUGGCAGGGUAACGGCCUACCAAGGCAACGCUCAGUAGCCGGUCUGAGAGGAUGAACGGCCACAUUGGAACUGAGACACGGUCCAAACUCCUACGGGAGGCAGCAGUGGGGAAUAUUGCACAAUGGGGGAAACCCUGAUGCAGCAACGCCGCGUGAGUGAAGAAGUAUUUCGGUAUGUAAAGCUCUAUCAGCAGGGAAGAUAAUGACGGUACCUGACUAAGAAGCUCCGGCUAAAUACGUGCCAGCAGCCGCCGUAACAC